rnacentral:misc_RNA from 1 species
UUCAAAUUUCAUUUAUUAUUUAUUUUAUAAGGAUAAGAAAAAGAAUAAGCCCAUGUAACAUGGCUCCAAUUAAAAAGAUAGCUAAACUGGCACCUCGUUACAAGAUAAAAUAUAGACAGCCGUCGACCACGCUGUUCUUGCAGAAGAUUCGACAGUGACGCGUUAUUGGAAAUUUCGGCACGAAUGUAAACAAGUACUCGCGAUCCAUACGAGAGAUCCAUAAGAGAGUUUUUUAAAGACGUUUUUAGACGUCAAAAGCAAUCGCUACUUACAGAUUAUUUUCUUGAAUGAAUUAAUAAAAAAAACUCAAAUUGAAGCAUACAAAAUAACUGGGAUUAUUGAGCAUAAUGGAAACGGUGAAUAUGGACGACUGCUGUCUACGCGGUUUUGUGAAAGAUGAAUGUCAUAAGGAUACCUAUCGAGCACACCAAAGUACGCACAAAGUUAGUACAUUGCCGGAGGAAGAGAUGAAACUUCUGUACUCGAGAGUACCUGGGUUACAAGAAAUUGAAGAAAAGUCAAUAUGUGAUUACCAUUACAGGAAAUAUAUUACUUAUUAUUCGGCAAAUUAUUCCAAAUGUUGUGAUCCGUGGAAGAACCAUAAAAAAAAUAUAACACAAUAUUUGAGAAUAAUUGAUCUGGACUUUUCGGAGAAAGUCAAGCAAGCAUGCAACAUCAAUAUUGUACCUGGUCAAAAAUUUUGUUCCAAUUGUCAGAAAAGGCUCUCUGUUAUCGUUGAAAAGUUUGAAAUUGAUAGGAUGUUUUGCAUAGAUCCAUUUCAAAGACAUAGAAGCAUGAUUGACGAUGAUCUUCGUAAUUUGACUAGAGAGUAUAUAGAUCAUUUGAAAGAAAACCACGAUUUAAAUUUGACCGUAGAGCAUAAAGUUUGCCGUAAUUGCCGUUCCUCGCUAAAUUAUGAAAUUAGAGGUUCUCAGCAAUCUUCAACGGCAAAAGAAGAAGAUUUAGAAGAAGAUUCGUCUUCAACCGAAUCCUCGGCUUCUUCCACGACAUCUUCAGAAGAUUCAGUAUCAACGGCAUCCUCGGAUUCUCCUCCACCAAAUAAAACCAAUUCGCGAAAAACAAAUAAGGUAUCAAAUAAAAAAAAAUGUACUAAAAGUUCGUCAACGCCAGCAUUAGAGUUGAGCACUCGAAAGCGACAUCUUAAAGACAUAUUCGACGUUUUUGAUAUUGCUCCGGUGAAACGUCCAAGAGUGGCCGAUAAACGUUUGCUUCAAAAAGGUUUGAAGAUCAUUCAGAAAGUCGCUAGUCAGGUAUCGGAAACUUUUCAAGACGUUUAUAAUGUAAGAAUGCCAAAAUUGGAUCGUAUUUACCAAUGGCAUAACGAAAGUAUCUGGUUGAAGAAGAUGAUAAGAAAUAUGCAAAUCAAGUAUCGCGUUUCUUCCUACAAUGAGAGGAUAUCGUUAUUAACUUUUUUACCCGAUGAUUGGAACUUGGAACAGAUAAAUGAAUACUUUCAUUGCUCGGAGGACAUGGUCAGCGAGGCUAAUAAAUUGAGACAAAGUAUUGGUAAAAGUAAGAAAAAGAAUUGAGGACGUAUGAUUUCAACAAUAUCUUCGGGUGACAUCUCACCAUUCUACAAAGACUCAAAGCGACUGUUACUCUUAAUAUAAUUAAUCAAAAAAAUAGAUAUAAAUACUGGUGCCUUGACAAUGGAUUUUGAGGAAAAUUUUCCAUUUUUAUCUCAAAACUCUACUCUCGACUAAAACUUUAUCAAUAAUAGUGACACGCGACUCACAUCAAUGCAGAAAACUAAGAGACAAUGAUAUAAAGAAAUAUUGCUCUGAUCGUCAAGCUAUUGAUAUAGUACUAUACUUGAUUAAAUAAAAACAUCAAGUUUAUGCAUAAAAAGAAUUAUUUACUUCUCUGAUCUUAUAACAUCAGUUUUAAAAAAAAAUCACCAAGUAAAUGUUAGUCAGUGUGAGAUUGAUUUUUCUUUGAAAAUAAAAGUUUAUCAAUUUCAUUUCGACACCGCAUGAAAAAAGAUGCAAUGGUAUUGGAAUAAGAUGUGCAGCUUAAAAAGCUUCCUAACACUGCGCAAUGAUUCUCAAUGUUAAGUACUACCAAGAUGAAAUUGAAAUAGUCUUG